rnacentral:sRNA from 1 species
AUCGUGUUUGUUCGGUACUUUUUGUAAUAUGUGAAUUUUUUGUUUUUUAAAAGCUUAUGUAUUAAUAACUUAAUUGGAGGUCAUUUAAAUGACACAAGGUACAGUAAAAUGGUUUAACGCAGAAAAAGGUUUCGGUUUCAUCGAAGUUGAAGGCGGUUCUGACGUAUUCGCUCACUUCUCAGCAAUCCAAGGCGAAGGUUUCAAAUCUUUAGACGAAGGUCAAAAAGUUGAAUUCGAAAUCGAAGACGGCCAACGCGGACCACAAGCAGUAAACAUCGUAAAACUUUAAUUUUAACGAGUUACGAUCAAAAAGGAAAUUGCCUCGGCAGUUUCCUUUUU